UCUAGCUUGUUAGAAGAUGACGAGUGGCGGACGGGUGAGUAAUGCUUGGGAACUUGCCUUUGCGAGGGGGAUAACAGUUGGAAACGACUGCUAAUACCGCAUAAUGUCUUCGGACCAAACGGGGCUUUUAGCUCCGGCGCAAAGAGAGGCCCAAGUGAGAUUAGCUAGUUGGUAAGGUAACGGCUUACCAAGGCGACGAUCUCUAGCUGUUCUGAGAGGAAGAUCAGCCACACUGGGACUGAGACACGGCCCAGACUCCUACGGGAGGCAGCAGUGGGGAAUAUUGCACAAUGGGGGAAACCCUGAUGCAGCCAUGCCGCGUGUGUGAAGAAGGCCUUCGGGUUGUAAAGCACUUUCAGUUGUGAGGAAAAGUUAGUAGUUAAUACCUGCUAGCCGUGACGUUAACAACAGAAGAAGCACCGGCUAACUCCGUGCCAGCAGCCGCGGUAAUACGGAGGGUGCGAGCGUUAAUCGGAAUUACUGGGCGUAAAGCGCACGCAGGCGGUUUGUUAAGCUAGAUGUGAAAGCCCCGGGCUCAACCUGGGAUGGUCAUUUAGAACUGGCAGACUAGAGUCUUGGAGAGGGGAGUGGAAUUCCAGGUGUAGCGGUGAAAUGCGUAGAUAUCUGGAGGAACAUCAGUGGCGAAAGGCGACUCCCUGGCCAAAGACUGACGCCUCAUGGGCGAAAGUGGGGGUA
rnacentral:rRNA from 1 species